GUUGUAGCUGUGUCCAACGGAAGCAUUUGCUGAGCGGAUUCUCUACAAGAACAUGCUUGGUGUCUUCAUCCUGCUGCUUCUAAUAGAUCUCGUGAUAUGAAGUUCCUGCCAAUUCCUCCAGCCAUGAUCUCUGUCUCUGCUGGGGGUACUGCAUUAAGCGUGAAUGCCUGGAGAAGUAUCAGUUAUAUCUACUCAAGAAUCUCGUGGUUAGCUACCCUUGAGAACUUUCAUGUUACCAGUCCAUUUCUGUUGAAGCCAAAAGCACAACUUGGGAGUUCACCAGCAUAAGUCAACAGCCAGGGAAUCAUUCACAACAAGAACAUCAGAACAGUCUUCUCCACCGACCGCCUCUCGUGGCCCUCCUUGCAUUUGAACAAAUGAAACCGAAAUGCAGAUCUUUACUUCGAGAAACGGUACCCCACUGCCUUCAGCCAUGCCAAGCAUUUCAUCCCAGUACCUUGGGUAGGCUUGUUUAUUGUUAAUAGAGAGUGCUUCAAGAAGUUCUCUUCCCG